GCCAUCCUUCCAAUCUACACAUUUGGUUGUGGAUUCUAGGAAGCCAUUUAUCAUGAGCCGUGGAUAUCUUGGAGACAGAUACCGUACAACAUCAUAUAGCAAAUGUGGAAUCAAUUUAGGACAAAGUGUACAUGGCAUCCUCAACAUCAAAAUGAAAUAAAUAAUAUUUUCUAGAAGAAGGUUGCUAAGCGGAUUAAAGAUACUCUGUUCGCUGCUCGAAAUGCUGGUAAAAUGCCUGGGUGGUUAAGAGAAGAUGUUUGGGAUAAACUUCUUUAGAAAUGGAAUACCGAAGAAUGAAAGAAGAAGAGUGAACAAGCAAAGGAAAAUCGUGCCUCCAAUAAAGGUGGCUCGUUGCACACAUGAGGUUCGAUUAGUUUUGCGGCCCAUAAACUAAGAUUGGAAAAGGAAAGAGUGCGAGAUAUGAUUCACGCUGAGGUCUUCGAGGAGACGCAUAAGAAAAAGAAGAAGGAUGGUACAAGAGAACACUGGGUGGAAAUGGGAAGAUAAUCAUAAAAGGGUGGAAGAAUGACAACAAACUCAGCCUACUUCAACUCAACCAACACCUGAUGAUAUGGCUUCAUUAUGGACAGAGGCAGCGACAAAGGCAGAGUCUACGGACUUGGAGUACGUCGACCUACAGGUCAUCCAAACCCACUCUUAGCCAAUUCUUCUUCUUCUCAAAAUCAAGAACAGAUGGAAGAUAUGAAAAAAGAAAUUCGUGAUUUGAAGCAACAGUUGGACUCCUAAUUCGGAACAUUUGUUAAGAUGUAGAAAUUUAUGAGAAAACAUGGCAUGAUCUAUCUGAUGGUGAGGAUGAACAAACUGAAUGUGAUGUGUAGUAGUGUAGGUGUAGUGUUCUGGUUGAUUGAUAAACUUGAUUGUGAGAGACAACUUUAUGUUUUAUUUUUAAACUUGAA